rnacentral:rRNA from 1 species
UACGUAGGGUGCGAGCGUUGUCCGGAAUUACUGGGCGUAAAGAGCUCGUAGGUGGUUUGUCGCGUUGUUCGUGAAAACUCACAGCUUAACUGUGGGCGUGCGGGCGAUACGGGCAGACUGGAGUACUGCAGGGGAGACUGGAAUUCCUGGUGUAGCGGUGAAAUGCGCAGAUAUCAGGAGGAACACCGGUGGCGAAGGCGGCUCUCUGGACCGCAACUGACGCUGAGGCGCGAAAGCUAGGGGAGCAAACAGG